GACGAACCGUCCAAACGUUAUUCGGAAUCACUGGGCUUACAGAGUUCGUAGGCGGUCUGGAAAGUUGGGUGUGAAAUCCCUCGGCCUAACCGAGGAACUGCGCUUGAAACUACCAGACUCGAGGGAGAUAGAGGAAAGCGGAACUGAUGGUGGAGCGGUGAAAUGCGUUGAUAUCAUCAGGAACACCGGUGGCGAAAGGCGGCUUUCUGGGUCUUACCUGACGCUGAGGAACGGAAAGCCAGGGGAGACGAACGGG
rnacentral:rRNA from 1 species